rnacentral:rRNA from 1 species
AUUUGAUGCCUGGCAGUUCCCUACUCUCGCAUGGGGAGACCCCACACUACCAUCGGCGCUACGGCGUUUCACUUCUGAGUUCGGCAUGGGGUCAGGUGGGACCACCGCGCUANNNNNNNNNNNNNNNNNNNNAGGUGGGACCACCGCGCUACUGCCGCCAGGCAAAUUCUGUUAUCAGACCGUUUUUACGUUCUGAUGUAAUCUGAAUCAGUGCUGAAAAUCGUCUCUCAUCCNNNNNNNNNNNNNNNNNNNNGAAUCAGUGCUGAAAAUCGUCUCUCAUCCGCCAAAACAUCUUCGGCGUUGUAAGGUUAAGCCUCACGGUUCAUUAGUACCGGUUAGCUCAACGCAUCGCUGCGCUUACACACCCGGCCUAUCAACGUCGUCGUCUUCAACGUUCCUUCAGGAGACCUAAAGUCUCAGGGAGAACUCAUCUCGGGGCAAGUUUCGUGCUUAGAUGCUUUCAGCACUUAUCUCUUCCGCAUUUAGCUACCGGGCAGUGCCAUUGGCAUGACAACCCGAACACCAGUGAUGCGUCCACUCCGGUCCUCUCGUACUAGGAGCAGCCCCCCUCAGUUCUCCAGCGCCCACGGCAGAUAGGGACCGAACUGUCUCACGACGUUCUAAACCCAGCUCGCGUACCACUUUAAAUGGCGAACAGCCAUACCCUUGGGACCUACUUCAGCCCCAGGAUGUGAUGAGCCGACAUCGAGGUGCCAAACACCGCCGUCGAUAUGAACUCUUGGGCGGUAUCAGCCUGUUAUCCCCGGAGUACCUUUUAUCCGUUGAGCGAUGGCCCUUCCAUUCAGAACCACCGGAUCACUAUGACCUGCUUUCGCACCUGCUCGCGCCGUCACGCUCGCAGUCAAGCUGGCUUAUGCCAUUGCACUAACCUCCUGAUGUCCGACCAGGAUUAGCCAACCUUCGUGCUCCUCCGUUACUCUUUAGGAGGAGACCGCCCCAGUCAAACUACCCACCAGACACUGUCCGCAACCCGGGUAACGGGUCCACGUUAGAACAUCAAACAUUAAAGGGUGGUAUUUCAAGGUCGGCUCCAUGCAGACUGGCGUCCACACUUCAAAGCCUCCCACCUAUCCUACACAUCAAGGCUCAAUGUUCAGUGUCAAGCUAUAGUAAAGGUUCACGGGGUCUUUCCGUCUUGCCGCGGGUACACUGCAUCUUCACAGCGAGUUCAAUUUCACUGAGUCUCGGGUGGAGACAGCCUGGCCAUCAUUACGCCAUUCGUGCAGGUCGGAACUUACCCGACAAGGAAUUUCGCUACCUUAGGACCGUUAUAGUUACGGCCGCCGUUUACCGGGGCUUCGAUCAGGAGCUUCGCUUGCGCUGACCCCAUCAAUUAACCUUCCGGCACCGGGCAGGCGUCACACCGUAUACGUCCACUUUCGUGUUUGCACAGUGCUGUGUUUUUAAUAAACAGUUGCAGCCAGCUGGUAUCUUCGACUGACUUCAGCUCCAUGAGUAAAUCACUUCACCUACGUGUCAGCGUGCCUUCUCCCGAAGUUACGGCACCAUUUUGCCUAGUUCCUUCACCCGAGUUCUCUCAAGCGCCUUGGUAUUCUCUACCUGACCACCUGUGUCGGUUUGGGGUACGAUUUGAUGUUACCUGAUGCUUAGAGGCUUUUCCUGGAAGCAGGGCAUUUGUUGCUUCAGCACCGUAGUGCCUCGUCGUCACGCCUCAGUGUUAAAGUGAACCGGAUUUACCUGGAACACACACCUACACGCUUAAACCGGGACAACCGUCGCCCGGCCAACAUAGCCUUCUCCGUCCCCCC